rnacentral:rRNA from 1 species
AGAGUUUGAUCCUGGCUCAGGACGAACGCUGGCGGCGCGCCUAACACAUGCAAGUCGAACGGAGUUUCCCCUUCGGGGGGAGCUUAGUGGCGGACGGGUGAGUAACACGUGAGGAACCUGCCUUUGAGAGCGGGAUACCGUCUGGAAACGGACGUUAAUACCGCAUAAUGCAGCGAGGCCACAUGGCCAUGCUGCCAAAGAUUUAUCGCUCAAAGAUGGCCUCGCGCCUGAUUAGAUAGUUGGCGGGGUAACGGCCCACCAAGUCUGCGAUCAGUAGCCGGACUGAGAGGUCGAACGGCCACAUUGGGACUGAGAUACGGCCCAGACUCCUACGGGAGGCAGCAGUGGGGGAUAUUGCACAAUGGGCGAAAGCCUGAUGCAGCGACGCCGCGUGAGGGAAGACGGUUUUCGGAUUGUAAACCUCUGUCUUCGGGGACGGAACAAGACGGUACCCGAGGAGGAAGCCACGGCUAACUACGUGCCAGCAGCCGCGGUAAUACGUAGGUGGCAAGCGUUGUCCGGAAUUACUGGGUGUAAAGGGAGUGUAGGCGGGACUUCAAGUCCGUUGUUAAACCGAUCGGCUCAACUGAUCGCUGCGGCGGAAACUGAAGUUCUUGAGUGAGGUAGAGGCAGGCGGAAUUCCCAGUGUAGCGGUGAAAUGCGUAGAUAUUGGGAGGAACACCAGUGGCGAAGGCGGCCUGCUGGGCCUUAACUGACGCUGAGGCUCGAAAGUGUGGGGAGCAAACAGGAUUAGAUACCCUGGUAGUCCACACUGUAAACGAUGAUUACUAGGUGUGGGGGGACUGACCCCUUCCGUGCCGGAGUGAACACAAUAAGUAAUCCACCUGGGGAGUACGACCGCAAGGUUGAAACUCAAAGGAAUUGACGGGGGCCCGCACAAGCAGUGGAGUAUGUGGUUUAAUUCGAAGCAACGCGAAGAACCUUACCAGGUCUUGACAUCGUGUGCAUAGCGCGGAGACGCGUGAAGCCCUUCGGGGCACACAGACAGGUGGUGCAUGGUUGUCGUCAGCUCGUGUCGUGAGAUGUUGGGUUAAGUCCCGCAACGAGCGCAACCCUUACGAUUAGUUACUACGAAAGAGGACUCUAAUAGGACUGCCGUUGACAAAACGGAGGAAGGUGGGGAUGACGUCAAAUCAUCAUGCCCUUUAUGACCUGGGCUACACACGUACUACAAUGAUGGUAAACAGAGGGAAGCAAGACCGCGAGGUGGAGCGAACCCCUAAAAGCCAUCUCAGUUCGGAUCGCAGGCUGCAACCCGCCUGCGUGAAGCUGGAAUUGCUAGUAAUCGCGGAUCAGCAUGCCGCGGUGAAUACGUUCCCGGGCCUUGUACACACCGCCCGUCACACCAUGGAAGUCGGUAACACCCGAAGCCAGCAGCCUAACCCGCAAGGGAGGGAACUGUCGAAGGUGGGAUUGAUGACUGGGGUGAAGUCGUAACAAGGUAGCCGUAUCAGAAGGUGCGGCUG